AGGACAUCAGCCCCACCCAGAGCAGCACUGUGCAGAUACCUGCCCUGCAAGCCAGCUGCAGGCCAUGCCUUUCCAACCAGCAGUCUGGCUGUCCUCCAGGAUGUCUGCAGGAAAGAUAUUCAAGGGAGAAGCUGAGGGAAGAAGGCCUGGCAGAGGACCUAGGUUUUUCUCCUUUAAAUAAAGCUGCAGAAAGCAGCAGUAGUAAGUCUGAUGUUCAAGAUCCCCAUAGAGAUUGUUAAUGGGAAGAGAACUGGGAGCAUCUAUUGAAAAGUUUGAGAGGAUUGUUAGAGAAAUUAGGAGCAAGUCAGUGAUUU
rnacentral:lncRNA from 12 species